CCGAAACAUAGAACAACAGCAACUUUUACCCCAUCUACUUGGCGCCGUGUUAGGCUGUUAGCAGUGGGCGCGCACUUCAGAGUCCGGCGAAACCCGAAACCUCGCGUUCAUCUUCAUUCUCAUUUCCGAGCGCCGGAAAAUUUUGAGGUCAAUUUUUUUAGAGCAUCAGCGCUGCCUCUAAACACCACCUCUGCAAUCGAAAUCCUUCUCCUACCCUAUCUCUUGUUUCAAAUUACUCAGCUAAGACCACCAAAUCCACCGUUAAGAAGGGCAAGUCCAAGGCCGACGCUAAAGCCGCCGAUCAUCCCUCCGCCUCCGCUGCUGCUUCAGACGAAUUAGAUGCGGCGCUUUCUGAUGAUGAUCCCUCAUUCGAUGUUGGCACAUAUGGUCGCCCUCUCUUUACCUCCGCAUCUUCACUCUCACAGCUCACUCGCAAGGAUGCAGGGACAAUAGUUCGUUCCCCUCUUCAUCUGAUGUCAAUUGCUAUUGCUAUGUCAAAUUUGUGAACCUAUACCGUUGGCAGAGGGCAUUUGCGUUGGGAUGGUGAAAGGGGCUGAUAGCAUGACGAUGCCUGUGGGUUCAACUUUAUAUAUGACUUAAUUGAUACUAUCGUUUGUGAAAGAUAUUCCUGUGCUCAUUGCUAUUGAUCAAGUGAGGCACAAAUCUACAUCUACCCUUCUUUUGAUUUCUAAUAAAUGACAACUGGUUUACGUUCAGUGAGUAUGAAGAACCAGUGACUGUUCGUUCUACUCCGCCAAUACGUUGCUACAGAACUUGCAAUGGUAAAAGCUUUUAUUUUAGGUCUAUGAUGAUGGAGGAUGACAUGAUGGUUGGUGGUUUAUCCCCUUCAACUGCUGUAGGAAAGUUGCUUCAAGACUUGCCAGAUGUUCCUCUAGUUGCACGUCUUAAUUUCCCUUGCUAUAGUCUUGAUGAAGCGGCUUCUGUUUUCCAAUUUCCAGUACUACCACAGCCCGGUGUCCACCUCCUUUUGUGGCUCAAUGUCUUCACUGACACAUUGCUCGGUGUCUGGCCCUGAUACCAUUUGUAACCGUUCAAGCCCACCACCGUCUGCUAUGGAGAAGUUUCCACAUCUUUAUAAAAAAAAAUGUUUCGUUUUUCUCUCCAACCGAUGUGGAAUCUCACAAGAACAAUGGACAAAACAAGGGACCGUGAUUUAUCUCCAUGUGCAUAUUGUCAACUUACUGUCGAUGAGGUGACCCAAGCGCUCGCCUACGGUGAGAGGCGAAGCGACCUGAGGCCUUUGUCGCCUUGUAACCAGCUGGGGCGAGCGACUUCAAUCAGGCACUUGCCCCACUGCAGGCAGUGCGAGGCGUUCAGCCCCUUGUGAUCAUGCAAAAAUCAAAACAGAAAAAAUAAAGCUUCUCCGUGACUCGAUUAUUAUUGGAACGAGUAUUGUUCUUGUACGGCUUUGACAUUUUAUGUAAAUAUGUUUACAUAAACUUAUGAUCUUUAUAUCUUUAUUUAUUACGUCUCGCUUCGCUCAGGUGUCACUUUGAUGAGUCAAUCAAGGUGCACUAUCAACUUUGAAAAAACUGGUACAAUUAUGUCCCGGAGUUCUAAAGAUUCACAUAACCUAUCUUUACGUGAUAAUAUUUGAUACA